rnacentral:misc_RNA from 1 species
AAUCCCCUCGGGUUUUUCCCGAUCGGACUUGGACUUGGGCGUCUGCCAGCGAUGGCUUGCCUUAAAAGACUCAGUGGGAACAGCAUCCACGGCCUGACGUAAUAAGUUUCGUCUGGCCCGGUGUGAAGCCCGCUCACAACCCGCCAUCGUGCACUUUUGACUCUGACCUCAAAUCAGGUAGGGCUACCCGCUGAACUUAA